rnacentral:rRNA from 1 species
GAUGAACGCUGGCGGCGUGCCUAAUACAUGCAAGUCGAGCGAACACACGAGGUGCUGCCUCCUCUGACGUUAGCGGCGGACGGGUGAUUAACACGUGGAUAACCUACCUAUAGGACUGGGAUAACUUCGGGAAACCUGAGCUAAUACCGGAUAAUAUAUUGAACCGCAUGGUUCAAUAGUGAAAGACGGUUUUGCUGGCACUUAUAGAUGAAUCCGCGCCGCAUUAGCUAGUUGGUAAGGUAACGGCUUACCAAGGCGACGAUGCGUAGCCGACCUGAGAGGGUGAUCGGCCACACUGGAACUGAGACACGGUCCAGACUCCUACGGGAGGCAGCAGUAGGGAAUCUUACGCAAUGGGCGAAAGCCUGACGGAGCAACGCCGCGUGAGUGAUGAAGGUCUUCGGAUCGUAAAACGCUGUUAUUAGGGAAGAACAAAUGUGUAAGUAACUAUGCACGUCAUGACGGUACCUAAACAGAAAGCCACGGCUAACUACGUG